AACGAACGCUGGCGGCAGGCCUAACACAUGCAAGUCGAACGCCGUAGCAAUACGGAGUGGCAGACGGGUGAGUAACACGUGGGAACGUACCCUUCGGUUCGGAAUAACUCAGGGAAACUUGAGCUAAUACCGGAUACGUCCGAGAGGAGAAAGAUUUAUCGCCGAGGGAUCGGCCCGCGUCUGAUUAGCUUGUUGGUGAGGUAACGGCUCACCAAGGCGACGAUCAGUAGCUGGUCNGAGAGGAUGAUCAGCCACAUUGGGACUGAGACACGGCCCAAACUCCUACGGGAGGCAGCAGUGGGGAAUAUUGGACAAUGGGCGCAAGCCUGAUCCAGCCAUGCCGCGUGAGUGAUGAAG
rnacentral:rRNA from 1 species